GUGAACGCUGGCGGCGUGCUUAACACAUGCAAGUCGAACGGUAACAGGAAGUAGCUUGCUACUUUGCUGACGAGUGGCGCACGGGUGAGUAAACUAUAGUUAAUGUGCCUCGAAGACUGGGAUAGCCACUAAAAACGGUGAUUAAUACUAAAUACACCUCUUUAACUCAAACUAAAAAAGGAAACGUUUUUUCGCUUCGAGAUCAGACUAUAUCCUAUCAGUUAGUUGGUGAGGUAAUGGCUCACCAAGGCAAUAACAAAUAGCGGUUCUAAAAAGAUGAUCCGCCACACUGGUACUGAGACACGGACCAGACUCCUACGGGAGGCAGCAGUGAGGAAUAUUGCACAAUGGGGGGAACCCUGAUGCAGCAACGCCGCGUGGAGGAUGACGCAUUUCGGUGUGUAAACUCCUUUUAUAUGUCAAGAAAAUGACGGUAGCAUAUGAAUAAGCACCGGCUAACUCCGU
rnacentral:rRNA from 1 species